AUGCCGUCGCGGUCGCCGUCCCCGAUGGUGCGCGUCGUCUCGUCGUCCACGGUGAAGCCGCCGCCGCGGCCGAGGGAGCGCAUCCCGCUCACCUCCUGGGACGCCUCCAUGCUCUCCUCCAACUACAUCCAGAAGGGCCUCCUCUUCCACAGGCCCACCUCCUCGGCGUUCAACGCCGCCGACCACCUCGCCGCGGUACUCGGCGACGCGCUCGCCCACUACUACCCCAUCGCCGGCCGCUUCGCCACGGAGCAGCACAGGGAUGACGCCGGGAACGUCGUGGGGUGCUCCGUCCACGUCGACUGCGCCGGCCAGGGCGUGGAGGUCGUGCACGCCGUGGCCGACGGGGUGACCAUGGCGGACGUGCUCCCCCGCGACGCCGACGUGCCGCGCGGCGUGCUGGCGCAGUUCUUCCAGCUCACCGACGCCGUCAACUACGGCGGCCAGGAGCAGCCGCUGUUCGCCGUCCAGGUCACCGACCUCGCCGACGGGGUCUUCGUCGGCUUCGCCUACAACCACGCGCUCUCCGACGGCACCGCCUUCUGGGACUUCGUCAACUACUGGGCCGCCCUCGCGCGCACCAGGCUCGGCCUCGCCGCAGCGCCCCCGGCGCCGAAGCCCUCGUUCGAGCGCUGGUCGCCCGACGGCGGCCCGGCGGGGCCAGCGGUGCUGCCGUGCGCCGACGUGUCCGAGCUCAUCGAGCGGGCGCCCCCGCUGCAGCUGCACGAACGGAUGCUGCACUUCUCGGCCGACUCGCUGGCAGCUCUCAAGGAGCGGGCGCGUGAGGAGCUCCUGGCCGCCGGCGACACGGCGGGCGCGGCCGCACUAACCAAGUUCCAGGCGCUGUCGUCCCUCCUCUGGCGCUGCAUCACCCGCGCGCGGCGGAUGGCGCCGGAGCAGGAGACGACGUGCCGCGCGGCCAUCAACAACCGCGGGCGCCUCCGGCCGCAGCUCCCGCAGGACUACUUCGGCAACACCAUCUACGCCAUCGGCACCGACUCAACGCGCGCCGCGGACCUGCUCGACCGCGGGCACGGCUGGGCGGCGGCGGCCGUGGGGCGGGCCGUGGCGGCGCACACGGACGCGUCCAUCAGGGCGCGCGUGGCGGCGUGGACCGCCAAGCCCAUGGUGUACACGCACCGCUUCUUCGACCCGACAGGCACCAUGAUGGGGAGCUCGCCGCGGUUCGACAUGUACGGCUGCGACUUCGGAUGGGGGAGCCCCGUGGCGGCGCGCAGUGGCAUGGCCAACAAGUUCGACGGCAAGACGUCGUUGUACCCCGGCCACGAGGGCGGCGGUAGCAUCGAUGCCGAGCUCACGUUGUCGCUAGAGAACAUGGCCGCGCUCGAGGAGGACGUGGAGUUCUGGGCCGCCGUGUCCCCGGACACACCCGUGCCGGCGCCGGUGCCGGAGAAGAAGCCCACUUGA
rnacentral:rRNA from 1 species